rnacentral:rRNA from 1 species
UUGAACGCUGGCGGCAUGCUUUACACAUGCAAGUCGAACGGUAACAGGCCUUCGGGUGCUGACGAGUGGCGAACGGGUGAGUAACAUAUCGGAACGUACCCUAUCGUGGGGGAUAACACAUCGAAAGAUGUGCUAAUACCGCAUACGACCUGAGGGUGAAAGCAGGGGAUCGCAAGACCUUGCGCGACAGGAGCGGCCGAUAUCGGAUUAGCUAGUUGGUGAGGUAAAGGCUCACCAGGGCGACGAUCCGUAGCUGGGCUGAGAGGACGACCAGCCACACUGGAACUGAGACACGGUCCAGACUCCUACGGGAGGCAGCAGUGGGGAAUUUUGGACAAUGGGGGCAACCCUGAUCCAGCCAUUCCGCGUGAGUGAAGAAGGCCUUCGGGUUGUAAAACUCUUUCGGCAGGAACGAAACGGUGAGCUCUAACAUAGCUUGCUAAUGACGGUACCUGAAGAAGAAGCACCGGCUAACUACGU